UCGGAUAUGGUGUAACGGCUAACAUUGCCGCCUCUCAUCGAACGAGAGUCAGUCCGCGGCAGCUCGGGGUUCGAUUCCCCGUAUCCGAA